AGAAGUGAGGGUGAUCUGGCUGCGACAUCUGUCACUCCAGCCAGGAUUGCUUGGGCUGAUCUGGCUGGCUAGGCCAGUGUUACUUUUCUCCCCAGCCAUGCCGUGUCCAUUUCUCCUUAAGCUGCGUGCUUGGUAGGAAAGGACAGCCUUCCCUUAACGGACACAGGUGACAAGUGUCUUGGGUGGAGGGUAUCCGAGUAGUUGUGCUCCUCUGCUUGAACCUCCAAACAAGCCCUCACACUCAGAGAUACUGUUCCUUUUUUGAGGAAGGCCCUCCCUAGCUGCUCAGAGAG
rnacentral:sRNA from 1 species